GACGAACGCUGGCGGCGUGCUUAACACAUGCAAGUCGAACGAAGUGGCGAACGGGUGAGUAACGCGUAAACAACCUGCCCUUAAGAGGGGGACAACAGUUGGAAACGACAGCUAAUACCGCAUACUGAAGAAGGGGAUUGCGUCUGAUUAGUUAGAUGGAGGGGUAACGGCCCACCAAGGCGAUGAUCAGUAGCCGGGCUGAGAGGAUGAACGGCCACAUUGGGACUGAGACACGGCCCAGACUCCUACGGGAUGCAGCAGUGGGGAAUCUUCCGCAAUGGACGAAAGUCUGACGGAGCAACGCCGCGUGAGUGAUGACGGCCUGCGGGUUGUAAAGCUCUGUUAAUCGGGACGCGGUACCGGAAUAGAAAGCCACGGCUAACUACGUGCCAGCAGCCGCGGUAAUAC
rnacentral:rRNA from 1 species